CGCGGGGUAGAGCAGUGGCAGCUCGUGUGGCUCAUAACCACAAGGUCGGAGGUUCGAGUCCUCCCCCCGCUACCA
rnacentral:tRNA from 1 species